rnacentral:rRNA from 1 species
AUGGGAUUUAGGGACAUCCAUUGCUUUAAUCUAGCGCUACUAGCAAAACAAGCAUGGCGUUUAUUGGAUGCACCCGAGUCAUUAUGUGCAACAAUUCUUCGAGCCAAAUAUUACCCUGAUGGGGAUCUGUUAAAUGCUACUCUAAAGAAGAAGGCCUCCUAUACUUGGCAAAGUAUAAUGGAGGGUGUCAAAACACUCAAACUUGGGCAUAUUUGGCGUAUCGGAGACGGACAGAAGGUAAAUAUGUGGACUGAUGCUUGGAUCCCUUAGUCUCCUUCAAGGCUGCCCAUUACUGUGAGAGGUAAUCAGUUACUAACUAAAGUUUCAGAUCUAAUUGACCCAACAACGGGACAAUGGGAUGUACAGCUGAUUAAGCAAACUUUUUGGCCGAUGGACGCUGAGAGGAUCCUGAAUAUUCCUCUCCCAUCUUUUGACAUGCCUGAUUUCUUGGCAUGGCAUCCCUCCAAGCAUGGUACCUUCUCGGUGAGAUCGGCUUACCUAGAGGUGUGGAAAAACUGUUAUGAAAGUAAAGUGAAAAGAGGAAACAGUCCAAGUGCUGCAGCUUCAAACCCGAUAUGGGAUUUCAUUUGGAAACUUCCAUAUCCAGCUAAGAUAAGGAUCUUUCUCUGGAGAACUCUACAUGGCACGCUUCCUUGCCGUGUAAACUUAGCAGAUCGGCAUAUGAAACUAUCCACGAAGUGUCCUGCUUGCGAAGAAGCUGAAAGUGUUAAGCACAUGCUCUUUUUAUGCCCAAAAGCAAAGCAAGUAUGGUAUAUGCUGGGUCUCCAGGAGGUGAUUGAGCGGGGAUGCGCUGUCGACCGAGCAGGAGAAGUUGUUCUUGAAUAUUUGUUAUCUGUUCCUGCAAAUAAGACAAUGGUUCUAGGGCAAGGAAAAGGACCUUUGAUCAUUGCUAUCGCAUGCUGGUUCUUGUGGUGGGAAAGGAGGAAGCUGGUUCAUGGGGAACACACUCAACAACCAAACCAAAUUGUUCUAUCUAUCCGUGCCCUUGCUGAGAACUUCUCGGCGGCUGCUACUAGUUCUGCAAAAGAAAAGAGAAACCCAUGGAAGAGACCGCCAACAGGAUAUGUCAAACUAAACGUCGAUGCCUCGUUUGAUGCUGAUUCACUUCAAGGAACUGUGGGUGCUGUUUUGCGUGAUUGUAAGGGGCUGUUUUUGGCAGCAAGUAACAAUGUAGCUGGGGCCUGUACAGAUGUGUUCAUGGCAGAAGCUCUAGCACUCCGGUUUGGUUUAAAUCUGGCAACAUCGGUUGGCUGUUCAAAGGUGAUUGUUAACUCCGACAGUUCAGACGUAAUUUUGGCUAUGCAGGAUGGGGAAUACAUCAGGCUCCUUUGCUGCAAUUUUGGAUGA